rnacentral:rRNA from 1 species
UUACGGUCAAAUCACGCUGAAACACCGGUUCUUUUACGAUCACCGAAGUUAAGCAGCGUAGAGCCAGGUCAGUACUUAGAUGGGGACCGCUUGGGGAACACCUGGUACUGA